rnacentral:lncRNA from 1 species
UUUAUUUAUUUAUUUUUUUUACUUCUCUCUCCUCCUCUCGAGGCUUCAGCUAUUUCUCCCCUACAGUUUAAUUUAUUUUUUUUCUAAAUAAAAUGAAUAGUGUGCUACCUCUUCCUCAUCUCUCUCUCUCAAGACCUCGGCUACUUCAUUCCUGUAACCUAAUUUAUUUUCUUUUCUUUAUGAAUGAAAUGAGCAGAGUAGUGUGCUGCUAUCUCCUCCUAAAAAAAAUAAUAAAUUCGCAAAAUUAUCCAUUCUUAAAU